AAAAACGUGUUUUUUUUGUUUUUUAAUUGUUUUUUAUUAGUUUCUCAACGUAAUAUUAACAAUAUCAAUAUUAGGAGUUGUUUGUAAGCCUAAAAAUCACCCAAUAUUUCAAUAUUAUAUCCAAAACAUCUAGAAACUCAGUGUUUGACGUUCCUUUUUAAAAAUAUUGAAACAUUAAACCCUUACUGCCUUUAUCUAUUAUUUUUUUACGUCGUUGCUUUUGGGGAAUCACCGAAAUUUAGCAGGACGCUCGUAUUCGUUGGCGCUGAGAAAACCGGGGAAUUACCGAUUAGCUUUUGCAGGUGUUCUGUUGUUAUUUUGUGAUUUACUUGCCUUGUGCCGGAAAUAUUUGUGUUUAGUGCUUAUUUAAGCGUGUUUAAAUAAAUUAAUUAUUGUUAAUUAUAUUUUCUGUGUUUUAUGAUAAUAAAUUAUUUGUUACCUACUGUAGUGACAUUAGUGACAAAAACUGAAUGUUUAUAAUGUCUUCGAAUUCGAGUUCUUGUUCUUCGCGGGAAUCACGGGGAAGGAAAAGUUGCAAAGUAAGUUCCCUGUUUAAAAUGCUAAAAACACAGAAAAAAAAACUCCUCAAGUAGAGUGUACUUUUUGUACACUUCAACUAUCAAAAAAUGGGACACGUUUGUUGGAACAUAUUAAAAAAUGCCUAAAAUGUCCAGAGGAAGUUAAAAUAAAGUAUGGAGUGACGGAGAGAAAACAACGAAACAUUGGACUAUUACAAACAAUACAUGAAAAAAGGGAGGAAAAAGUUAAAGAAAAACCGAAAUCACAAUCUAAAGAGGUGUCCGCAUUCAUGGAUAAAAUGACACCUGAACAAAAAGUAAAAG
rnacentral:lncRNA from 1 species